rnacentral:sRNA from 2 species
CAAGCUGGUACUCUCCCAUCUGGCGAGGUCACCGCUGCCUGGAAGAUCCACCCCCGAUAUCCUUCGCUUCCCACUUUCCAAGUUCCGGGGCUAGUGUGAAACCAGCUAACAACGGCCCUGCUGCUUGGAGUCGAUCCUUUCGACACGUGGAAACUGCCGUUUUGGGUCUAACAUCGUUUUGCUCGUUGCACAUCAUGAUGACAAUUACGGAUCGUUGAGUGAGUGACCAUCAUCUACCCCCUGUAUGACAGACAUACGGCGUAGACAAGCCAUGCCCAAGCAAGCGGGCCAUUCAUCUCAUACUCUUAUCAAUAUGAUCGUGGUUAUUCGACAUCAGGUCGCCGCCACCAGUCCCGGAGAAGACCCUUCUGGCCCCUUCUGGUAUCCAGAGGAUGUUGCGUGAUUGCUAUUGGAUCAAACGACUGCUCUCCCUGUGCGAUUCUCGUGCUACUCGGCUUUGUGAGAGAGCAGGAUAUAUAUAGCCAAUAAUAGGAGUAGGUAACUAGGAGGCAGGGUCAUCAUUUUUCUCCAUCGGAGCGCAACAGGCGAAUAUCCCUUGUGGUGGUGGGGGUUUCUCGACACAAUCAAUAAUUUCGAACAAUAAGCAAAGGGAGGGGGGGAAAAAAUUUAAAAAAAUAAAUAAAAAAUACACUGAGAAUCAGCGGGUGUCAAAAAAAUGGUACACAAACGAACGCAUCCCGUAAACGACAAGCGCUCCAGAAUUACAACUCUGCAAAGCAACGGUCGCACGGGAGUAAUAAGAAUAAUACAACUCCAGAGUAAUUACGACUAACGUUAGAAACAGAGAAGCUCGAUA